GAGUUUGAUCCUGGCUCAGAACGAACGCUGGCGGCAUGCCUAACACAUGCAAGUCAAACGAGAUCUUCGGAUCUAGUGGCGGACGGGUGAGUAACGCGUGGGUAUCUGCCCUGGAGCGUGGAAUAACCGCUGGAAACGGCGGCUAAUACCGCAUACGCCCUGAGGGGGAAAGGCUUCGGCCACUCUGGGAGGAGCCCGCGUCCGAUUAGCUAGUUGGAGGGGUAACGGCCCACCAAGGCGACGAUCGGUAGCUGGUCUGAGAGGAUGAUCAGCCACACUGGGACUGAGACACGGCCCAGACUCCUACGGGAGGCAGCAGUGGGGAAUAUUGGACAAUGGGGGAAACCCUGAUCCAGCAAUGCCGCGUGCGUGAAGAAGGCCUUAGGGUUGUAAAGCGCUUUCACCCGCGAAGAUGAUGACGGUAGCGGGAGAAGAAGCCCCGGCUAACUCCGUGCCAGCAGCCGCGGUAC
rnacentral:rRNA from 1 species